AUUGAACGCUGGCGGCAUGCCUUACACAUGCAAGUCGAACGGCAGCACGGAGCUUGCUCUGGUGGCGAGUGGCGAACGGGUGAGUAAUAUAUCGGAACGUACCCUAGAGUGGGGGAUAACGUAGCGAAAGUUACGCUAAUACCGCAUACGAUCUAAGGAUGAAAGUGGGGGAUUCGCAAGAACCUCAUGCUCGUGGAGCGGCCGAUAUCUGAUUAGCUAGUUGGUAGGGUAAAAGCCUACCAAGGCAUCGAUCAGUAGCUGGUCUGAGAGGACGACCAGCCACACUGGAACUGAGACACGGUCCAGACUCCUACGGGAGGCAGCAGUGGGGAAUUUUGGACAAUGGGCGAAAGCCUGAUCCAGCAAUGCCGCGUGAGUGAAGAAGGCCUUCGGGUUGUAAAGCUCUUUUGUCAGGGAAGAAACGGUGAAAGCUAAUAUCUUUUGCUAAUGACGGUACCUGAAGAAUAAGCACCGGCUAACUACGUGCCAGCAGCCGCGGUAAUACGUAGGGUGCAAGCGUUAAUCGGAAUUACUGGGCGUAAAGCGUGCGCAGGCGGUUUUGUAAGUCUGAUGUGAAAUCCCCGGACUCAACCUGGGAAUUGCAUUGGAGACUGCAAGGCUAGAAUCUGGCAGAGGGGGGUAGAAUUCCACGUGUAGCAGUGAAAUGCGUAGAUAUGUGGAGGAACACCGAUGGCGAAGGCAGCCCCCUGGGUCAAGAUUGACGCUCAUGCACGAAAGCGUGGGGAGCAAACAGGAUUAGAUACCCUGGUAGUCCACGCCCUAAACGAUGUCUACUAGUUGUCGGGUCUUAAUUGACUUGGUAACGCAGCUAACGCGUGAAGUAGACCGCCUGGGGAGUACGGUCGCAAGAUUAAAACUCAAAGGAAUUGACGGGGACCCGCACAAGCGGUGGAUGAUGUGGAUUAAUUCGAUGCAACGCGAAAAACCUUACCUACCCUUGACAUGGCUGGAAUCCUUGAGAGAUCAGGGAGUGCUCGAAAGAGAACCAGUACACAGGUGCUGCAUGGCUGUCGUCAGCUCGUGUCGUGGGAUGUUGGGUUAAGUCCCGCAACGAGCGCAACCCUUGUCAUUAGUUGCUACGAAAGGGCACUCUAAUGAGACUGCCGGUGACAAACCGGAGGAAGGUGGGGAUGACGUCAAGUCCUCAUGGCCCUUAUGGGUAGGGCUUCACACGUCAUACAAUGGUACAUACAGAGCGCCGCCAACCCGCGAGGGGGAGCUAAUCGCAGAAAGUGUAUCGUAGUCCGGAUUGUAGUCUGCAACUCGACUGCAUGAAGUUGGAAUCGCUAGUAAUCGCGGAUCAGCAUGUCGCGGUGAAUACGUUCCCGGGUCU
rnacentral:rRNA from 1 species